rnacentral:rRNA from 1 species
AUAUCAAUAAGCGGAGGAAAAGAAACCAACAGGGAUUGCCUCAGUAACGGCGAGUGAAGCGGCAACAGCUCAAAUUUGAAAUCUGGCGUCUUUGGCGUCCGAGUUGUAAUUUGUAGUGGAUGCUUCUGGGUAGCCACCGGUUUAAGUUCCUUGGAACAGGACGUCAUAGAGGGUGAGAAUCCCGUAUGCGACCGGCCGGCACCCUCCACGUAGCUCCUUCGACGAGUCGAGUUGUUUGGGAAUGCAGCUCUAAAUGGGAGGUAAAUUUCUUCUAGAGCUAAAUAUUGGCCAGAGACCGAUAGCGCACAAGUA